UACGAAGGGGGCUAGCGUUGCUCGGAAUGACUGGGCGUAAAGGGCGCGUAGGCGGACGGCUUUGUCGGGCGUGAAAUUCCAGGGCUUAACCUUGGGGCUGCGUUCGAGACGGGUUGUCUAGAGUUUGGAAGAGGGUCGUGGAAUUCCCAGUGUAGAGGUGAAAUUCGUAGAUAUUGGGAAGAACACCGGUGGCGAAGGCGGCGACCUGGUCCUUGACUGACGCUGAGGAGCGAAAGCCAGGGAGCAAACGGG
rnacentral:rRNA from 1 species